UACGUAGGGGGCGACCGUUGUCCGGAUUUACUGGGCGUAAAGCGCGUGUAGACGGUCCCUUAAGCCCGGGGUGAAAGGUGCAGGCUCAACCUUCGAGCUGCGCCGGAAACUGGGGGUCUUGAAUGUCGGAGAGAGGCGUGGAAUUCCUGGUGUGGCGGUGAAAGGCGUAGAGAUCAGGAGGAACACCGGUGGCGAAGGCGGCGCCCUGGCCGAACAUUGACUUUGAGACGCGAAAGCGCGGGGAGCGAACGGG
rnacentral:rRNA from 1 species